rnacentral:rRNA from 1 species
UUUAAAACGUCGUGAGACAGUUUGGUCCCUAUCUGCUGUGGGCGUAGGAGACUUGAGAGGGCCUGCCCCUAGUACGAGAGGACCGGGGUGGACGAUCCUCUGGUGGACCUGUUGUCGCGCCAGCGGCACAGCAGGGUAGCUAUGAUCGGAAGGGAUAACCGCUGAAGGCAUCUAAGCGGGAAGCCUGCCUCAAGAUAAGGUCUCCCUCUGAGCACCUAAAUCAGGUGCUUGGCUGAAGGACCCUGGAAGACGACCAGGUAGAUAGGCCGGAAGUGUAAGUGCAGUGAUGCAUUUAGCUGACCGGUACUAAUAGUCCGUGAGUCUUAACCCU